UACGGGGGGGGGCAAGCGUUGUUCGGAAUUACUGGGCGUAAAGGGCUCGUAGGCGGCCAACUAAGUCAGACGUGAAAUCCCUCGGCUUAACCGGGGGAACUGCAUCUGAUACUGGAUGGCUUGAGUUCGGGAGAGGGAUGCGGAAUUCCAGGUGUAGCGGUGAAAUGCGUAGAUAUCUGGAGGAACACCGGUGGCGAAGGCGGCAUCCUGGACCGACACUGACGCUGAGGAGCGAAAGCCAGGGGGAGCAAAACGGGG
rnacentral:rRNA from 1 species